UUAAGUGAUAAUUGGCCUAGGGAGAUACACCUGUUCUCAUGCCGAACACAGAAGUUAAGCCCUAGAACGCCGGAAGUAGUUGGGGGUUGCCCCCUGUGAGAUAAGGUAGUCGCUUAGC
rnacentral:rRNA from 2 species